rnacentral:rRNA from 1 species
CCAGACUCCUACGGGAGGCAGCAGUGAGGAAUAUUGGUCAAUGGGCGGGAGCCUGAACCAGCCAAGCCGCGUGAGGGAAGAAGGUACAGCGUAUCGUAAACCUCUUUUGUCAGGGAACAAAGGCGGGGACUAGUCCCCGGAUGAGGGUACCUGAAGAAAAAGCAUCGGCUAACUCCGUGCCAGCAGCCGCGGUAAUACGGAGGAUGCGGGCGUUAUCCGGAUUUAUUGGGUUUAAAGGGUGCGCAGGCGGCUUGUUAAGUAAGGGGUAAAGGCGAGGGGCUCAACCCCGGCGAGCCGUUGAAACUGGCGGGCUGGAGUUGGAGAGAAGUACGCGGAAUGCGCGGUGUAGCGGUGAAAUGCUUAGAUAUCGCGCAGAACCCCGAUUGCGAAGGCAGCAUACCGGCGCCCAACUGACGCUGAAGCACGAAAGCGUGGGUAUCGAACAGGAUUAGAUACCCGUGUA